CUCUUAUUCAGAGUGGUGGAGUCAUAAGGGACGAAGAAGCCACGGCAACCCCGGAGACGGAAGGUGCCGACCUGAGCGAUACUUAGAUUAAGUUGUCGAGCAAUAAGAA
rnacentral:ncRNA from 2 species